CCAUUUGCGAAGAAGGGGAGGAGUAGUCUCCCGGCGGACGUCAGAGAGAAGGCGGUUGGUGCGAGCCUUUCGGAUGCCGGAGAUGAAGGUCGCCCCGGAGCAGCCGGCCUGAACGGAGUAGGGCGGCCGGGUUCUCCCGUUACAGAGACAAGAGUGUCACGCGCCUGCGUGGAAUUCAGGUGGUACCGCGGUUUCGAUCGCCCUGAAA
rnacentral:ncRNA from 1 species